rnacentral:rRNA from 1 species
GACGAACGCUGGCGGCGUGCUUAACACAUGCAAGUCGAACGGUAAGGCCCUUUUUGGGGGGUACUAGUGUGGCGAAGGGGUGUGUAACAUGUGUGUAACCUGCACUUGAUUGUGGGAUAACUUCGGGACUCUGGGGCUAAUACGGGAUAGGAUCUUGUGGUGUAUGGUGGGGGUUGGAGAGUUUCGGCGGUUGGGGGUGGACUCGCGGCUUAUCAGCUUGGUGGUGGGGUAGUGGCGUACCAAGGCUGUGACGGGUAGCCGGCCUGAGAGGGUGACCGGCCACAUUGGGACUGAGAUACGGCCCAGACUCCUACGGGAGGCAGCAGUGGGGAAUAUUGCACAAUGGGUGGAAGCCUGAUGCAGCAACGCCGCGUGCGGGAUGACGGCCUUCGGGUUGUAAACCGCUUUCGCUCGUGACGAAGCUUUGUGUGACGGUAGUUGGUAAAGAAGCACCGGCUAACUACGUG